ACCAUUUUAAAAGGAACAAAAAAAAANNNAAAACCUAAACACCCCGUUAUGCUUUGCAGCCGCCGCCUCUCUCUAAACCUCGAUACAACUCUUUCAUUUUGCCAAGAGCGACAUAACCUCUCUCCUCCUUCCACCAGCGACCAGCUAGGCGUGAGCAGCAACAAGACGACAAGUAGCAACGAUGAGCGACGUGGAGUGAGGCGUGCGACUACCCCAUCAGGCGAUAUUCAGACGUGCAAUUCCUCCAGACCUAUGAUUCGUCGCUCACGAAAGCUCCUCCUUCCACCAGCGAUGGCGACCCACGCAACAGCUCCACUUUGUGCGGCUAUUAACUACCGCCUCUGAUCAGCAAAGAUUUAUUGUAUUAUUUAGAUCAGAAAAUUUUCAUUUAUGUUUUUAUAAUUUUGAUUUUGUAAAAUAUGAUUAUAAAUUCAAAUUGUUGGCUGCGUAAAAUGUAAGAGUUUUGCUGUAAGGGAUUCUUUUUUUCUACAUUUGCUGUUCAUUCUUGCAUCAUAUGUUUUUGCAUUUGCAUUUGAUGUAUGGGGAAGAGGGGAAUGGGAUGCUUGCUAUGAUGUGUUUUGUCCUAAUCGCUAAUAUUUUACUAUUUGGGGAGAGUGGAAUGAGAUUUAUGCUUGUUGUGCACUGCUAGCUAUUCUAUGUAUUUGUGUGAUGUAAUACAUAUGUAUAUAGGAUUGUGCAGAAUGAAAUGGCUUGUUGUUGGGUGUGUAGCUCAUUUGUUAGCUUAUAUGUUGCUGCUGGGGACAAUGGCUUGCUAUAUUCUUU
rnacentral:lncRNA from 1 species